AUUGCAAGUCGAGCGACAGAUACGGAGCGUUGCUCCUGUACUCCCGACUGACGGUGAUCAACACGUGACGCAACCUACCUUUAGUGCUGCGAUAACUCCUGGAAACCGGGGCUAUUACCCUAAUCUGUUACCUCAUGGUGAAAUAUGGAAGACCAGAUCUACGCUGUCGCUUGAUGGGCUCCUAUGCUACAUAUAGCUCUCUCGGAGGUAACAGCUCCCAGAGUCGACCUAUUCGUUAACCGACCUAAGACGGUGAUUGACCGCACUUUGGACUUUACACGUGAUCAACUCCUCCUCAGGCAUGAACCGGGAAUCUUCCAAUGGGCAACCUUAAUGAGCAACUGACAUCGAGUGAAAAUGAUUUCCGGGACUUAAAACUAUCAUGUCAAGGACGACUGACCACGACAUAUGCUUCUCCCUUCAGUGGCCCUUUGGAAAGACCUGUUUUUCGUGCAACGGGAUGGUAAAACUUGGUAGGAAGGUCGGCGGUACUAAUUUGCCACAGGUUCCCCCCGUUGGGGUAACCCUUAAUUCAUGCCGGAUUAAUCUGCGGCUUUUGAGACUGGGGGGUUUUUGGGGUAAGACUGGGGGGGAAACCCCCAAUUGGGUCAUAUUUUUGGGGGCUUCCCGGGGGUAUUUGGUGUUCCCCCCUUUUGCCCAAAGGGGGGGAACCCAUCUCCGGGGGCCAAAUUUUGGGGUUGGCCCUUUUUUUUUCAAUCCCCUUAGACCCCCCGGCGGGGUUAAAA
rnacentral:rRNA from 1 species